AAUCUACCUACCUCUUCCUCCCAACUUCCCCCAACGACACGUCUGAUACCCCCAACAGUCAGGCUGUCACGUUCCCUGCUGCCUGACUAGCCGGGACCCAGAUGGGCAGUGAGGCGAGAAGGAUUGGGGUGGAAUCUCCCUGGGGCAGAAAUGGCGCCUGCAUCUUCUUUACCCAGCUGCGCCAUCUUAUACCCUUCUUCCUGCCUAGAAGCCUCAGUUGACCCUUCACGUGCACCCUCUGUGCUCUCCCAGAUGCAGGUGGCUGGGGAGCUGAAGGCAGAGCCCCGGAGUCCCCUGGUUGGGAUUGUGGCUACAUUGUUGGCUGUCCUCGGGUUAGGUGGCUCCUGCUAUGCAGUAUGGAAGAUGGUGAAGCAGCGGCAACCAUCACAGGCCCCGUGAUGAGGCGGGUAGCCUCUCGCCCAGGCUUGGAGGGUUCGACACUCAGCUGCUUCAGCCUGGGAAAAAGAAGAGUUGGAGAUCGGAGCUCACCGAGUGCAAACCCUUCCUGCAUGGCACCCAUCCGCCAGUCCUCUACUGACCCCUCCAUACCUUUUCUUGUGGUCUUUGGAUCGGAAAUGGGUCUUCAGGUUGGCUGAAUCGAUGAAGUACCUCCUGCAGGAAUGUAGGGUGAGGGAAAGAGUGAAGGGGUGAGGUCUCUCACACCUCCCUGGCCCUAGCUCGUUCCCAGACAUCGGAUUCUGAACCCGAAGUGAUAAGUGGCGGGUUGACCCAGGGAUCCCAAGACAGAACCUUCUAGCGGCUCGCGGCCCGGACCUCGCUGCCCCUAGCUAGUACCUCAGAC
rnacentral:lncRNA from 1 species